rnacentral:rRNA from 1 species
UACGUAGGGUGCGAGCGUUGUCCGGAAUUAUUGGGCGUAAAGAGCUUGUAGGCGGUUUGUCGCGUCUGCUGUGAAAUUUCGGGGCUCAACCCCGAACUUGCAGUGGGUACGGGCAGACUAGAGUGUGGUAGGGGAGACUGGAAUUCCUGGUGUAGCGGUGAAAUGCGCAGAUAUCAGGAGGAACACCGAUGGCGAAGGCAGAUCUCUGGGCCGUAACUGACGCUGAGGAGCGAAAGCAUGGGGAGCGAACAGG